AUCCACAUGGAUAGACAGACCAUCCGCGGCGCCGAGGCAGGGACCCGGGCAAGCAUGAGCGAUCCCGGUGCUUUCCCCAAUAAAUCCUGCGCUUUUCGGGAAAGAACCCUGAACCCCAGCGCCGAGAGGAAGAGGAGGGAUCUCGUCGACACGCCGUCGGGAACGCGCCCCCCGUUCCCUCGCCGCUGCCCCGACACGGUGCCAUUCUCGCCCGAAUCGGCGAAUCCCUCCCACCGCUUCGCCUAUAAAUCUCCCCCUCUAUGGCCCUAAUCCUCCCGUACAACAGUGCCCAGUGCCCACCGCGGCAGAUCUUCGAUGCCUCCAAGGGCGAUGGAGGAGGACGGCGGCUCCGGCAGCGACAGCAUGGAGUUCGUCGCGGGAGCGGAGACUGGCGCUGGUGUAGGCACAAGCGCCGGCAGGAACCGCGGUGUGGGUGCAGGACCAGCGCAGGCGGUGGCGGCGGCACGAAGCUGCCGCAUGUGCUGCAAAAGAGUUUCGGCGAGGUGCAAGGGAUUCUGGAGCACAACCGCGUCCUGAUUUAGGAGAUCAGCUAGAACCAGGAGACGCGCGACGCGGACGGCCUCAGCCGCAACGUGGCGCUAAUCUGGGAGCUCAACACUAAUAUCGCCCGCGUCGUGGACAUCUACGGCGACAUGUCAGGCUCCUUCGCCCGCGCCGUCGCCACCAAGAAAGACGCCGCAGGCUACAAGUCGGGCCCUAAGGGGCCAUGGCAUCCGAGUUGGCGUUGGACGGCGGCUGCGGGAUGGGGAACAGCGACCCUCCGUCGGCUGUGAGUGAGCCCAUGAGACCACCCAGAGCCCCGCCCUGCACCGCCCCAACGACCGUGGUCACCGCGGCCUCGAUGUGGAUGGGCUGCUUCGCCAUCCAUGCACGGAACCUGGCCUCAAUCGCUUUUACGCGGCCGCUCCACUCCUCUAGAGGGUUACUACCGCCGCGCAAUCCGCGAGCCAUCGGCACUGACGGCGAGGUCUUCAAUGCCACGACCGAAUUCCCCCUUCCCUUGCCGUCCGCCAUCUCCUUGCAACCUCGCGUCUGCCACUCCCUCUCGAGUCUCGAUGGCCACUGUGCCACUCUUCAUUAUCCCCUCGGAAUCUUCUUCGCUUAACCCCUUAGCAAAUCAUCAUGCGGUCCUCCUCGCACGGCCGGCCCAACGUUUCGUUUCAUUAGGCCCAGCUAGACGGGGGGAGCACGCGGAGAGAAGGGCGGGGCAGUCUACACUAACGUCUUAAUAGUUAGUAGAGAUUUAUUUAAACAUGAUCCAAAAUCAUAUAUUCCCCUCCAAAGGAACUCAACCGUGGAACAUAACAAGGUAAACACACACCAGUAGUCAGCGCACCUUCGGAUCGAGCCAAACCAAUACUGAACUAGACAUGUGGCGAUGCCAUCGUUGUCAGUAUGGCGGAUCCCACGAUGCACCUCACAAAGAUUUGAAUGCGUGGCGGCACGCCACUGGAGUUGGUAUGAUUCAAAGUGGGACUGUGUCGGUCCAAAACGAGAACCCUGGAGCUGAUAUGACUUAGUGUGUGUGUAUAUAUAAUAUACUAGGUGUGUGCCCGUGCGUUGCAACGGGAGUACGCUGGGAUGAGCAUCGACACAUAUCUGAUCGAAUCUUAUAUUUCCUUGGGGUCUGGAGAAAGUUCG